rnacentral:lncRNA from 1 species
CACUGAUGUUCAAUUACGCUUGAGCUUUUCCAUGCCAAUUCCAAUCACUUCAACUAGACUUGGAGUUUCUGUAUAGCCUGUCAUAUGUCUGUUAAUCUAUAUUUAAAAGUGGACUAUGUAAUUCAUUGGAAUUAUUACUUGCUGUACUGGAGAUUUUCUUGAUCUUAUAUGGUUUAGAAACCAACAGUCACUCUAUAUUAUUUAAUUCCUUAAACACUCUACAGAUCCAACAGUAUCUCUUCUUUCUUUGAUCAUAGAUUUUCAUUCCUGUGACUUAAUAAUGAACUAGAAAGGAACACUUUCGUAUUUACUUGAAAACCCCACUGACACUUUAUCAAUGACCAGCUUCUUACCUUAAAAAUAGGUGCCUCAUGUUCUCACAUGGUCGUGUCAAGUUGACAAUGGAACUAGCAAACAUCAUAAAAACCUGGAGCUGAACUCACCUGUCAGUGCAUUGCCCAGGUGCUUGACACAUCUUUGUUUACAUUUGCCAGUCAGAACCACUGUGUAAAUAACCAGCUCUCUUCUAUUGUGGUAUCAUCAUAUGAUGUGGUAUGAUACAACUUGAUUAACAGCAUAAAUUAUAUCACAGCUUUCUUCACUGUGAUUUCAUCCUCAGAGGAUGCUUAGCUCUGUAAUUUUAUCGCUUUGUGUGAACUGAUUUCAGAAUAGGAAGGGAGGCAUGACCACCUUAUAAGAAAAGACAUUCUUCAUGGGUCAAAGUGAUUCAUGUAAGACAGUGAGCAGCCUUGCCAGAUCAUUGUCGUACAAGGCAGUGUAAGUCAGCCCCUCACCAGAUCAGACUCUAUGGUCAAGGAAGAAGACUCAAUAGAGCUAUCAAGCACCAAAAUACAAUGUCAGCACCAGGAAAGCCCUAAAGCAAGGAUUACUGGAAUGCUGUCUGGAGGAAGCAUCACUGUCAUUAGCUUCUGGAAGCCCUCUGUGAUUACUUUGAAAAAGUUAAAUAAAAAUGUUAUGUAGAUCAAUGGAUAACGCAUGCCUUACCACCUUCAAGUAAAAAGAGACAUCCCACAGAUACUGUAUUAC